UACGUAGGGUGCAAGCGUUAAUCGGAAUUACUGGGCGUAAAGCGUGCGCAGGCGGCUUUGCAAGACAGAUGUGAAAUCCCCGGGCUUAACCUGGGAACUGCAUUUGUGACUGCAUGGCUGGAGUGCGGCAGAGGGGGAUGGAAUUCCGCGUGUAGCAGUGAAAUGCGUAGAUAUGCGGAGGAACACCGAUGGCGAAGGCAAUCCCCUGGGCCUGCACUGACGCUCAUGCACGAAAGCGUGGGGAGCAAACAG
rnacentral:rRNA from 1 species